UACGUAGGGUGCGAGCGUUGUCCGGAAUUAUUGGGCGUAAAGAGCUUGUAGGUGGUUUGUCGCGUCUGCUGUGAAAAUCCGAGGCUCAACCUCGGACUUGCGGUGGGUACGGGCAGACUAGAGUGUGGUAGGGGAGACUGGAAUUCCUGGUGUAGCGGUGAAAUGCGCAGAUAUCAGGAGGAACACCGAUGGCGAAGGCAGGUCUCUGGGCCACUACUGACGCUGAGAAGCGAAAGCGUGGGGAGCGAACAGG
rnacentral:rRNA from 1 species